AGAUUCCCAUGGCUACAGCGACACUUGUGGACCGUACACAGGGCUGUGUGACCUUUGAGGAUGUGGCUGUUUCCUUAUCCUGGGAGGAAUGGGGGCUCCUUGUUGAGGCCCAGAGGUACAGUGAUGUGAUGCUGGAGAACUUGGCACUUAUGGCCUCACUGGUGAUAAAUGUUUGACAUGUAAAAGGCUGUGCAUAUUUCAUGGAUACAACUUGAUGGGCCUGGGGUAAGUAUACACCCAUAAAACCAUCACCUACCUUCAAGGCCAUAGACACAUCUCUCACCUCCCAUAGUUUCUUCUCACUCCUUUAUUAUUAUUAUCACCAUUACUAUGUGUGUGUGUGUGUGUGUGUGUGUUUGCAUGUGGUAAGGACACUUGACAUUCCCUCUUAGCAAAUUUCAAGUGUACAAUAG